AUUGAACGCUGGCGGCAGGCCUAACACAUGCAAGUCGAACGAGUGGCGGACGGGUGAGUAAUGUAUGGGAACCUGCCUGAUGGAGGGGGAUAACUACUGGAAAAGGUAGCUAAUACCGCAUACCAUCGGAUGUUCCCAGAUGUGAUUCGCUAGUAGGUGGGGUAACGGCUCACCUAGGCGACGAUCCCUAGCUGGUCUGAGAGGAUGACCAGCCACACUGGAACUGAGACACGGUCCAGACUCCGACGGUAGGCAGCAGUGGGGAAUAUUGCACAAUGGGCGAAAGCCUGAUGCAGCCAUGCCGCGUGUAUGAAGAAGGCCUUCGGGUUGUAAAGUACUUUCAGCGGGUAGGCGUUACCCGCAGAAGAAGCACCGGCUAACUCCGUGCCAGCAGCCGCGGUAAUAC
rnacentral:rRNA from 1 species